rnacentral:misc_RNA from 1 species
AAGUCGUAACAAGGUCUCCGUUGGUGAACCAGCGGAGGGAUCAUUACAGAGUUGCAAAACUCCAAACCCAUGUGAACAUACCUCGUGUUGCCUCGGCGGCGAGCGAAGUGCUCGGGAGGUGCCUACCCGGUACCUACCCGGUAGCUACCCUGUAGCCUCCUACCCUGGAGCUGCGAGGUACCUACCCUGGAGCACAUGCGCAUCCGCCGGAGGACCACUCAAACUCUUGUUUCUGUGUGGCACAUCUGAGUAAUUAUACUUAAUAAGUCAAAACUUUCAACAACGGAUCUCUUGGUUCUG